rnacentral:rRNA from 1 species
UACGUAGGUGGCAAGCGUUGUUCGGAAUUAUUGGGCGUAAAGAGCGCGUAGGCGGUUCGAUAAGUCUGGUGUGAAAUCCCUGGGCUCAACUCAGGAAGUGCAUUGGAUACUGUCGGACUGGAGUACAGGAGGGGAGAGUGGAAUUCCUGGUGUAGAGGUGAAGUUCGUAGAUAUCAGGAGGAACAACAGAGGCGAAGGCGACUCUCUGGACUGUCACUGACGCUGAGGCGCGAAAGCGUGGGGAGCAAACAGG